rnacentral:ncRNA from 22 species
GGGUGUUCGCUGUAUCGGCAGCGACAGGAAAGCGAUGGUCGGGCCGCCACG